rnacentral:lncRNA from 1 species
CAACCUGUGACACUAGCCUAGGCUUUUUUUUUUUCUCUCUCUCUCUGUGAUGAAGAUUUUUAUUGUUUCUGUCAAGGCUUCCUUCCCUUAGGCCUCUCCCUAUCUGUGGUGAGCCUUCCUGCAGCGGCUGGGAGGAACUGAAAAGCGGCCUAGAGAGCAGCCAUGAAACAGCGGUCGCUCCUCCUGCUAUGGAAGACCUGUUCUGCCUCCUUCCUGAAAUCUUCGGAGCACGGCCCCCAGCUGGAUACUCCCCUUACCUCAGCUGGAUGCUUCUUCCCCCUCAGCUGGAUGCUCCCCCCCACCACAGC